UUCGCAAAAGCAUUCCAGGAUCGUACUGGGUAGACUACAACCGUGUAAAGAUGGUUUCGCUGUAAGCUUGUAACCGCACAGUUGCGACUGCCACCGUCAUUCGUUCAUUGCAUACGUGACCUACAGCACAUAUAGAUACACGCAUACACCUACGAAUUUUCACCAAUCGAAAACGUUGUUUUAUAAAACGAACAGUUGUUGGUAUUGCAUCUAAUAUCAGGUUGCGCGCAGUUACAACGGAUUUUUUUAUUAUAGUUUUCGUAUAUAUUUUCAAAGUAUUAAAAGAUGAAUCGAACUGUGCUACAAAGCAAGCUUCUACCCCAACUUAAACGAUGGUGGAACCAAAACGGAUCACUUGGGACAAAAGCUCUCCAGAAUAUCUCAGUGGCCAGGUUUGCUCACUCAAACGGCGGAAACAAGAAAUUGAUUUUUCGUCAGAUGUUUCACAAUGAAACUUACACAUACACAUACUUUGCUGGGUUGCCCUAUCACA